GAUGAACGCUGGCGGCGUGCCUAAUACAUGCAAGUCGAGCGAACGGACGAGAAGCUUGCUUCUCUGAUGUUAGCGGCGGACGGGUGAGUAACACGUGGAUAACCUACCUAUAAGACUGGGAUAACUUCGGGAAACCGGAGCUAAUACCGGAUAAUAUUUUGAACCGCAUGGUUCAAAAGUGAAAGACGGUCUUGCUGUCACUUAUAGAUGGAUCCGCGCUGCAUUAGCUAGUUGGUAAGGUAACGGCUUACCAAGGCAACGAUGCAUAGCCGACCUGAGAGGGUGAUCGGCCACACUGGAACGGAGACACGGUCCAGACGCCUACGGGAGGCAGCAGUAGGGAAUCGUGCGCAAGGGGCGAGAGCCUGACGGAGCAACGCCGCGUGAGUGAUGAGGGUCUUCGGAUCGUAAAACUCUGUUAUCAGGGAAGAACAUAUGUGUAAGUGACUGGGCACGUCUUGACGGUACCUAAUCAGAAAGCCACGGCUAACUUCGUG
rnacentral:rRNA from 1 species